UCUAAGAACAUAUGUGUAAACAUGAAUCUGCGAACGGCUCAUUAUUAACACCCGUAAUCUACCCAGUUUUCUUAUCCAAAACGGAUAUCUGCGUUAAUUUUGGAGCUAAUACGUGCACCAACGAGCUGCUAGCAAUAGUGGCUCGCACUUAUUAGAUCAAGGCCGAUUGGGGCAACCCUUUUGGUGACUCUGAAUAAUUUUGCGGAUCGUACGGUCUUGUACCGACGACGUACUGGUCGAGCGGGUGCCCUAUCAACUAUUGAUGGAAGUCUAUGUGUCUUCCAUGGUUGUAACGGGUAACGGAGAAUAAGGGUUCGACUCCGGAGAGCUAGCCUUAGAAACGGCUAUCACAUCCAAGGAAGGCAGCAGGCGCGUAAAUUACCCACUCUCAAUUCGAGGAGGUAGUGACUAUCAAUAACGAGACAGAUCUCUUUGAGGUCUGUCAUUGCAAUGAGCACAACUUAAAGACUUUAACGAAGUCUAUGGGAGGGCAAGUCUGGUGCCAGCAGCCGCGGUAAUUCCAGCUCCCAACGUGUAUAUCGUCAUUGCUGCGGUUAAAAAGCUCGUAGUUGGAUCUUAGCUCAUGCCGGUAGUUCUCCAUGUGAGAUACUGCUCGGCUGAGCUGUUUCGCCGGUUUUCCGUAGUUUCGGCUGCGGUGACUGGUGUUGUAACUUUGAUUAAAUCAAUGUGAUUAAAACAGGCGUUCGCUUGCAUGCUUUAUCAUGGAAUAAUAGAAUAUGACUUCGGUCCAUUCUGUUGGUCUUGGGAUCGAAGUAAUGAUUAAAAGGAACAACUCGGGGGCAUCCGUAUCGCUGCGUGAGAGGUGAAAU
rnacentral:rRNA from 1 species